AUUGAACGCUGGCGGCAUGCCUUACACAUGCAAGUCGAACGGUAACAGGUCUUCGGAUGCUGACGAGUGGCGAACGGGUGAGUAAUACAUCGGAACGUGCCUAGUAGUGGGGGAUAACUACUCGAAAGAGUGGCUAAUACCGCAUGAGAUCUACGGAUGAAAGCAGGGGAUCGCAAGACCUUGUGCUACUAGAGCGGCCGAUGGCAGAUUAGGUAGUUGGUGGGAUAAAAGCUUACCAAGCCGACGAUCUGUAGCUGGUCUGAGAGGACGAUCAGCCACACUGGGACUGAGACACGGCCCAGACUCCUACGGGAGGCAGCAGUGGGGAAUUUUGGACAAUGGGCGCAAGCCUGAUCCAGCAAUGCCGCGUGCAGGAUGAAGGCCUUCGGGUUGUAAACUGCUUUUGUACGGAACGAAAAGCCCUGGGUUAAUACCCUGGGGUCAUGACGGUACCGUAAGAAUAAGCACCGACUAACUACGUGCCAGCCGCCGCAGUAA
rnacentral:rRNA from 1 species